UCAGCUAUAGAGGAUGUAACUUUUUUGUUUAAAAUAUCUAUUAAAAUGCCAAACGCAUAUCUAUAAAAACCAUGAUCUGCACAGAUGAUUUGUUCUCGUCUUGCAUUAUUUGGAGAUGUAUAAGCUCCAUUAAAGUUCAAUAUGUAGCAUGUUGUUUUUUUUUUUAACUGAAGACACAAAAGUAAAAACAUCGUCAUCAUCAGGAACGAAAGCAAACUAGAGGGUGGCUGGUAAAAUGAAUUUAAUUCUUGUGUUUGUCUCCCAGAUGGAUUCAUUACAGGGUGAAGACUGCAGACACACACACACACACACACACACUGUAUAUUCCCCUGCUAAACACACAGUUUGUCUUUUUGGACAGCAAACAAGAAGAGUUUCAGGCACUAAUUGGACGAUCAGUUUGUGUGUGUGUGUGAUUAUUUGGGAGCGUGCCAGAGCUUCUUUAGUUUGGCUGAGAUGAUUGCCUCCAUUCUGCUCAAUAUUGACACAGAUUAAACUGGGUGAAAUGACAACGUCUGGUCUGACAUUCAGCAGGACAAAAGGCUCCCCAGGAGGCGCCGGAGAGUUCAGGGAACCAGUAAAGAGCAGGUGUCAGAGUGUCAGAGUGUUAUGUCAUCACCAGUACAGCCGAGGUGUGUUUGACUUGACGCAGCCUCCGGAGACGAGUGAAGCUGAUUCUACUGACCUCAUCAACAAACUAACUAACGGAGAGUAAACCAGUGCGUUCGCUGCUGCAGAGGAAGAACGGUUCCCUGCAGCCAGUCAGUCCUGUGGAUAAGUGUGUGUGUGUGUGUGUGUGUGUGUGUGUUUAAGGGUGAUUGCAGGAUCAUGUGGGUGCAGCUUUGCUUCGCCAGCCUCCAUCUCUGUAGCCUUUCCUCCAUCUGCCUGCCGCCAUAAAACUGAACGACGGACGGACGGCGGCAUUAAAAGCAACACACACACACACACACACACACACACACACACACACACACACAUAUAUACGUCUUGUCGUCCUGCCAUUAAAGGGAACUGGCGAGCAUCAGGAGACGGAAAUGGUGAUUGGAGCGUUAGACCUUCUAUAAGCGUCACACAGGCUCAGCUAAUAUCUGUCUGGUGACACUAUUGAUACCCUCCCGAUCAGAUUCUUCUAUAUUUUACCAAUUUUGAUUCAAAUUGUCAUCCUGUUUGUCAAUUAUGUAUUUCUGUAAUUUUAUUAUCUGGUCUAUUCUGCACACACAAAGUCUAUUUCCUGUCCGGAAUCCCUCCUCUGUUGCUCUUCCUGAGCUUUCUACCACUUUUUCCCCCCCUUUAAGGGUUUUUUUUUUAGGGACUUUUCCUGUUUCAAACCAAGGAUGUUGUAUUGCUGUACAGAUUGUAAAGCCCCUGACUGGAUAUAUAAGAACAUUAACAUACACAAGUACAUCAUGCAAAUAUUCACACUGAUACAUGAGACACACAGAAAUACUCACAAACAUACAACAGACUUCAGACUGUUGGAAACCAACACUGUUUUCCUAGAAAUUACCUUCAAAUGCGACUUAAUCGUUUUCCUAAUUAUGUUGCGUUAACAAACGUAAUCGCCGCCUGAAUUAUAAACAGCUGAAAUCAAACAAGAACAUCUAGAUUCUGCUCCAGAAAUAAGAAAACCUCAUUAAAAACCUCAUUAACACGUGUAGCUUCCUUGACAAUAUGUCAUGUAGCUUCACUUCAUAUGUUUAGAUAAGAACAUAGAAACAUCCAAUAUUAUGUUUUUUAUGUUAACAUCAUUUCCAAUAAGUCCUCUCUGAGUGAGUGGAGUGGCGGCGGCGGCGGCGGCGGGUUCAGACAUGUCUGUAAUAACAGCAGGACGGAUAAACGUCUUCACACAGCUCAGAUUACAGCUGCAAACAUCAACAAUGACUGCUGAUGACUUUCAUUUAUCUACAUAAAAUAAUCCUAGUUGUUGUUUUGUCAUAUUUAAAUUUAGUGAUGUCAUGAUAGCCAUCUUUGUGUGACUGGUUUCCUGGAAUCACUGUUGUGGGUUGUUGAAACCAGUUAGAACAAAGAAACCUUUAAUGUGCUGAACUUCCAUGUGACAAGGCUCUCUGGCUAUUAUUCUUAUUGCUAUGUUUGAUUUUUGAUUUUUUAUUGGCACAUUUGGUUUCACCGCUGGUUUCUACUAGCAGAUAUUUUACUGCAACAACAAGGUACAUUGUCUCUGAACAUUUCACUCAUAUGUUCAGUAUCAACAUUUUUGCAAAUUAUAAACAUUAAUUAACAACAUUUUUUCAUCUUGUUGAGAGAAAAUGUGACUCAGCAGCGUUACGUUUCUAACAAAACGUAUUUGCUGUUGCAGUUUAGUUGUAUAGGAACAUAAUUUCUAGGAGAGAGUUGUGGAAGCUGAGUCUUUAUUCAUGGAGCUAGGCUAGCUAUUUCCCCUGCUUGCAGUCUGUAUGCUAAGCUAAGCUAACCAGCUGUUGCACACUGUUGCAUCGAGUUCUUGCAUUGUUUUCUAAACAAAAAUGUCUUUUAGAGGAUUAUUUUUAUUUAUUUAUAUGUAUCAAUCUGUCAUAUUUCCAAUGUUCUGUUAGGAUUUGGCUGUUGGUACGGAUUCCUCCGUGUCAAUAGUCUGUUUAUUGUUGGCUGCAUUCAGACCAUAUUAGGCGGUGCAGCUCACUGCUGAAGGGUUGAGUGGAGGGGUGUGGGUGUGUUUGUGCUGU